AAUUGGUCUUUGGCCUUGGCCCAGUCAUGAUCAAAUACGUGAUCAUGACUGGGCCAAGGCCAAAGACCAAU